GCCUGGGUGGCUCAGUCGGUUAAGUGUCUGACUUCGGCUCAGGUCAUGAUCUCACGGUUCGUGGGUUUGAGCCCCACGUCGGGCU
rnacentral:tRNA from 1 species